UACGUAGGUGGCAAGCGUUAUCCGGAUUUAUUGGGCGUAAAGGGAACGCAGGCGGUCUUUUAAGUCUGAUGUGAAAGCCUUCGGCUUAACCGGAGUAGUGCAUUGGAAACUGGGAGACUUGAGUGCAGAAGAGGAGAGUGGAACUCCAUGUGUAGCGGUGAAAUGCGUAGAUAUAUGGAAGAGCACCAGUGGCGAAAGCGGCUCUCUGGUCUGUAACUGACGCUGAGGUUCGAAAGCGUGGGUAGCAAACAGG
rnacentral:rRNA from 1 species